ACUACGGGAGGCAGCAGUGAGGAAUAUUGGUCAAUGGGCGGAAGCCUGAACCAGCCAAGUAGCGUGCAGGAUGACGGCCCUACGGGUUGUAAACUGCUUUUAUACGGGAAUAACGCGCCUUACGUGUAGGGCUUUGCAUGUACCGUAUGAAUAAGGACCGGCUAAUUCCGUGCCAGCAGCCGCGGUAAUACGGAAGGUCCGGGCGUUAUCCGGAUUUAUUGGGUUGAAAGGGUGCGUAGGCCGCAUGUCAAGCGUGCUGUGAAAUGUCCGGGCUCAACCCGGGCCUUGCAGCGCGAACUGGCGUGCUUGGGUCCGCGGAAAGCAGGCGGAAUUCGUCGUGUAGCGGUGAAAUGCUUAGAUAUGACGAAGAACCCCGAUUGCGAAGGCAGCUUGCUGCAGCGGAACUGACGCUGAUGCUCAAAGCGCGGGUAUCGAACAGGAUUAGAUACCCCAGUAGUC
rnacentral:rRNA from 1 species